GUGGGGAAUAUUGGACAAUGGGCGCAAGCCUGAUCCAGCCAUGCCGCGUGAGUGAUGAAGGCCCUAGGGUUGUAAAGCUCUUUCACCGGUGAAGAUAAUGACGGUAACCGGAGAAGAAGCCCCGGCUAACUUCGUGCCAGCAGCCGCGGUAAUACGAAGGGGGCUAGCGUUGUUCGGAAUUACUGGGCGUAAAGCGCACGUAGGCGGACAUUUAAGUCAGGGGUGAAAUCCCGGGGAUCAACCCCGGAACUGCCUUUGAUACUGGGUGUCUGGAGUAUGGAAGAGGUAAGUGGAAUUACGAGUGUAGAGGUGAAAUUCGUAGAUAUUCGGAGGAACAACAGUGGCGAAGGCGACUGACUGGACAAGUAUUGACGCUGAGGUGCGAAAGCGUGGUGAGCAAACAGGAUUAGAAACCCCAGUAGUCC
rnacentral:rRNA from 1 species